CCAUGACAACAUUUUUUCAGGCUCGUUAAUCCCACUCACUACUCACAUUCAUCCUAAAGACUCACGCUCACCCAAAAGCUGUUCAUCUUAGGCCAUAAAAAUUGUUCUUUAGAGGCUUUAUGUCUGGACGUUUGACUCUCGACGUUCACUGUGAGGUUCAGUUGAGGAACGACUGUGUGACUGUGCGAACGAUUGUUCGAACGACGGCUCACCCAACAUCGACUGCACUUCAUCCCCGAUGCUCUCUAUCUCGACCCAGCUCGCAAGGGUUUACGGUGCGAAUGAGGUUUACGAACUGGGUUUUUUUUCAAGAAAGAAGAAAUUGGAGGUUUUCCAAAUUUUGGUAGAAAUGAGGUAGAGGUCUUGAAGCAUGUGUCAAACUACUUACAUCCUGUCGACUCAGAAUUAUUGUUGAACAUACUUGGCAUUUCUGAGUUGAAGGUGAUAUUACAUGCCUUUAUGAUUGAGUUUGAACUAUUGUGUAUUCUAUCAAAUUUUUAUCAAUAUUACUGUUGUAUUCAUAGUAACCAAUCCUGCAAAAUCAAUGCAUUAAUGUUGUAUAAUCUACGUGUACAGAGUUCUGCAUACACCCUUGAUUAUUAUUAUUCUUAUUGUUUUUGUUUAAUGGUAUAAGAGACAUAAUAUAAAAUUGAUGAAGGAAUGAAGAAAAAGUGAGUGUAGUAUGUUUGCACGAAUAACUACUUACUAAGAUUAGACAGAAUAUUAUCAAGUCCUUUUCAUAAUCUCAUAGAAGUUAGAAGUUAUAGAGUGAGUGGUUAGAGUCUCAUUUUAAUGGCUCUAAUUACUAUAUCAUAUACACUUGGAAAUAAAAGAAAAAAAUGUUGGAAGUUUAAUAAUAAAGCUUUUCUAUAUCAACAAAAAAAAAUUACAAAAUUAGUUGGCGAAUUAUUUCUUAUGGAUAUUCCUUAUAAAUAUUAUAUAUCCCUCAUUUUGUUCAUUCCUAAUAAUAACUAAUCACUAGUGUGCAACACUCAAAACAUGAUUUUUCAUUUCAGUGUCUUUUUGCUGCUGCACUUUUACUUUAAGUGUUUUUUCCCUUUUUAAUUUUUCAAUUGAUUCCAUCAACUUAUGUGUCAAAAUGUUAAACCCCUCGAGUUCUCUGACUUCCAUUGUUGUUUCCUAGUUAGUUAUUCCUUAGAUUUAUGAUUAUUGUGUUUGUGAAUUGUGAUUUAUGACUGUGGGUUCUUACUAUAUCUUUAGUUUUGAGCCUUUUUUACGCAUUUAUUUAUAUAUAAGAAAUUAUUUAUCUUUCUAUAAUCUUUAAUGUAACGGCAUUUGUGGGACAACCCUUCUAUCCCACCCUUUGGGAUUUAUGACUUUAGCUUCAAAUUCCAUUUUUUAACCUGUGCUAAAGAACUACCACUAUCAAUUAUACAUGUAACUAAUAACUAUACCAUUUACCAUCAAUUAUACGGUUUUCUUGUAUGGAUCAAUGUGUAUGUGCUAGAUUGAAGCUUUAUUAGUGAUAAUCAAAGUUGGAAGUAUGCUUAUUUUAAAGGACUUAAUUAUUUUGUUUCAGUUAUAGCUAAUUAUUAUUUGAGUGGAAGUAUUUCAAGCCAAAAUUACUUUCCUAGAGGUCUAAUUACCAUAUUUGCUUAAAUGUUAACCCCAUACAAUUUUGGUGUUGUUUUGUUGAUGAAAUUAUUAACUAUUUUAGUUGUGUAUUAUGUGUGUAUGUUUACACUAUUUUUUUCUCUGACUUCUGCAUUCAACUGGUUUAUAGAGUUAAGCUCCAUUCUAGCAACAUUAGGCAUGAAACAAAUUCUCCAUUUUGUUACUAUGAUUCUAUUGUAUAUACAGGUUAUAAAAAGUGUAAUUAAAUAUAGAUGGAAUGCAUUGCCUGCUGAGCAGCGAGACAAAAUGAAAAAUUUCAUCUCUGAUGUUAUUGUACAAGUACGAGCGACAUCUGUAAAAUGUAGAGACCAUAACUAGUGACACUUUUUGUGUUGAUUUGUAUGCUUUAGUCUCUUUACAUAUUUUUUCUUCUUUACUGACCCUUUUUUGUUUAGUUAUCUUGCAAUGAGGUGUCAUUUCGAAGAGAGCGAUUGUAUGUCAACAAACUCAAUAUUAUUUUAGUUCAGGUGUACCUAUGUCAUAUUGGUGAAUUAAUUAUUUAUGUUAUUCUCACCCACUUAUACUGUGCACAUUUUAUUUUUCUAGAUUAAAUUUAUUCAUUUUCGUAGUUUGAUUUACCUUUCUUUUAAUAGUUCUCCUGCCAUGUUUGAUUACAUUCUUUUUCUGUUUGAUUAACUACAUAUGAAUGUUUUGCUGAAAUAAGUCCUGCAUCCACAAAUUUUGAAGCAUUAAUGGCCAAUGAGAUGGAGAAGAUUGAUUCCGGACCUUGUUUCAGCAGCUAAACAACUGAAACAAUUUAUGAGAAUUGUAGGGCAAUAUUGAAGCCUUAUGCAGGAGCUUUUUUGUUAUAUACCAUUGAUAUGGAUUAUUCAAGAAGAUAUGGAUUAGCUUUUGCUUUGGCCAACCGACUCCAAAAGCCUUCUCUUUUGGCUAUUCAGCUAAUGGAUAUAUUUUCUACUAUGAUGAAGCAUGAUAAAGGUAUUCAACAUUCAAUUUGCUUGGAUAUUCAGGUAACAAAUGUUCUUUAUGUAUAGGAGUGGUAUAUGAAGUUCACCUUGUAUAACUUUGGAUUUUUCAUUUUACAAUGAUCUUGAUUCAUUUAAGAAUUUUUUCUGAUAAAUAUUUAAAGAUCGCGAUCCUGCUUGUUUGUCUAAUGCAUUUAAAUAUUGUAUGUUUGUUAAAUAUCGACAACUUGAAUACCUUUUGUGGCUUGAUUCUUUAAUUGAAGUUUUAUGUUUUAAAUACACAGAACAUGGAGUGGUUUCACACCAAUCAGGAUUGAAUGUAUGAUAGAUGCUAUAGUAGUAGAAGAGAUGGCGACAACAUUAAUAUGAACAAGGCCAACUUCAACAAGGUGGGAUAACCACAAGAAAACAACCAACAACAAAGUUACCAAGAGCAGAACCAACAGGACAUGACUACUAAAUAUUAGGCAUUUAGAAUUUUACAUUUUUGAAUUAUGUUAGCGCUUUUAGAUUAUAUUUAUUAGAAUUUGAUUAAAAUUUUAUACAAUAUAUACGAAACAAAUUCAUGGAGAUUGUAUAAGAAA